rnacentral:misc_RNA from 1 species
AAGACUAUAGACCUGCGGAGUACCUGCGGAAGGAUCAUUAACGUAUCUAUGAUGGGGUGCGGAGCGCCCUGCUCCGGUCGAACGGCCGUGCAGCGGGUGCGCCGCCCCCGUCCCACCUCACAAACCCACUGUGAACAUUCACCGGUGGAGGGGGCUCGGUCUGCGCCGUGUCCCCGAUGCCGAAUACCCAAACUCCAGUAGCAAAGAACGUCGUGCGGACUCGGUGCCGCCUAAAACAUG